rnacentral:rRNA from 1 species
GACGAACGCUGGCGGCGUGCUUAACACAUGCAAGUCGAACGGAAAGGCCUCUUUCGGGGGGUACUCGAGUGGCGAACGGGUGAGUAACACGUGAGUAACCUGCCCUUGACUUUGGGAUAACUUCAGGAAACUGGGGCUAAUACCGGAUAGGAGCUCCUGCUGCAUGGUGGGGGUUGGAAAGUUUCGGCGGUUGGGGAUGGACUCGCGGCUUAUCAGCUUGUUGGUGGGGUAGUGGCUUACCAAGGCUUUGACGGGUAGCCGGCCUGAGAGGGUGACCGGCCACAUUGGGACUGAGAGACGGCCCAGGCUCCUACGGGAGGCAGCAGUGGGGAAUAUUGCACAAUGGGUGGAAGCCGGAUGCAGCAACGCCGUGUGCGGGAUGACGGCCUUCGGGUUGUAAACCGCUUUCGCUCAUGACGAAGCUUUGUGUGACGGUAGUGGGUAAAGAAGCACCGGCUAACUACGUG